CAAUAGCGUAUAUUAAAGUUGUUGCGGUUAAAAGCUCGUAGUUGGAUUUCUGCUGAGGACGAUCGGUCCGCCCUCUGGGUGAGCAUUGACUCGGCCUUGGCAUCUUCUUGGAGAACGCUACUGCACUUGACUGUGUGGUGCGGUAUCCAGGACUUUUACUUUGAGGAAAUUAGAGUGUUUCAAGCAGGCGCACGCCUUGAAUACAUUAGCAUGGAAUAAUAGGAUAGGACCUUGGUUCUAUUUUGUUGGUUUCUAGAGCUGAGGUAAUGAUUAAUAGGGACAGACGGGGGCAUUCGUAUUACGGUGUUAGAGGUGAAAUUCUUGGAUCGCCGUAAGACGAACUACUGCGAAAGCAUUUGCCAAGAAUGUUUUCAUUAAUCAAGAACGAAAGUCAGAGGUUCGAAGACGAUUAGAUACCAU
rnacentral:rRNA from 1 species